AAUUCGCCCUUAGAGUUUGAUCAUGGCUCAGAGUGAACGCUGGCGGCGUGCUUAACACAUGCAAGUCGAACGAGAACGGAUUUUAGCUUGCUAAAAUUGUCAGCUAAGUGGCGCACGGGUGAGUAAUAUAUAGUUAACCUGCCUCAAAGAAGGGAAUAAUUGUUGGAAACGACUUGUAACGCCCUAUAUGCCUUUAUUACAUAAGUAAGCAAGGGAAACAUUUAUGGCUUUGAGAUGGGACUGUACAGUAUCAGCUAGUUGGUAAGGUAAUGGCUUACCAAGGCAAUGACGCUUAACUGGUUUGAGAGGAUGAUCAGUCACACUGGAACUGAGACACGGUCCAGACUCCUACGGGAGGCAGCAGUGGGGAAUAUUGCACAAUGGGGGAAACCCUGAUGCAGCAACGCCGCGUGGAGGAUGACACAUUUCGGUGCGUAAACUCCUUUUAUAUAAGAAGAUAAUGACGGUAUUAUAUGAAUAAGCACCGGCUAACUCCGUGCCAGCAGCCGCGGUAAUACGGGGGGUGCAAGCGUUUACUCGGAAUCACUGGGCGUAAAGAGCAUGUAGGCUGGGUAGAAAAAGUUGGAAGUG
rnacentral:rRNA from 1 species